UUUGCAAAGCUCAGUCGGCAGAGCGUGAGACUCCUAAUCUCAGGGUUGGAAGUUUGAGCCCCACGUUGGGCAAAA